rnacentral:tRNA from 3 species
GCGGGAGUAGCUCAGUUGGUAGAGCAUCAGCCUUCCAAGCUGAGGGUCGCGGGUUCGAUCCCCGUUUCCCGCUCCA